rnacentral:rRNA from 1 species
AGAGUUGAUCAUGGCUCAGGACGAACGCUGGCGGCGUGCUUAACACAUGCAAGUCGAACGAGGAUAUGCCAGAGGAGAGCUCGGCAGGAAUCGGGCAUAUUCGAGUGGCGGACGGGUGAGUAACGCGUGAGCAACCUGUCCCAGACAGGGGGAUAACACUUGGAAACAGGUGCUAAUACCGCAUAAGACCACGGUAUCACAUGGUAUUGGGGUAAAAGGAGCAAUCCGGUUUGGGGUGGGCUCGCGUCCGAUUAGAUAGUUGGUGAGGUAACGGCCCACCAAGUCGACGAUCGGUAGCCGACCUGAGAGGGUGAUCGGCCACAUUGGAACUGAGAGACGGUCCAAACUCCUACGGGAGGCAGCAGUGGGGAAUAUUGGGCAAUGGGCGAAAGCCUGACCCAGCAACGCCGCGUGAGUGAAGAAGGCCUUCGGGUUGUAAAGCUCUGUUAUAGUUGACGAAGGAAGUGACGGUAGGCUAUAAGGAAGCCCCGGCUAACUACGUGCCAGCCGCCGC